GAAAGGCCAAUCAAACCGGGAGAUAGCUGGUUCUCCCCGAAAGCUAUUUAGGUAGCGCCUCGUGAACUCAUCUUCGGGGGUAGAGCACUGUUUCGGCUAGGGGGUCAUCCCGACUUACCAACCCGAUGCAAACUACGAAUACCGAAGAAUGUUAUCACGGGAGACACACGGCGGGUGCUAACGUCCGUCGUGAAGAGGGAAACAACCCAGACCGCCAGCUAAGGUCCCAAAGUCAUGGUUAAGUGGGAAACGAUGUGGGAAGGCACAGACAGCCAGGAUGUUGGCUUAGAAGCAGCCAUCAUUUAAAGAAAGCGUAAUAGCUCACUGGUCGAGUCGGCCUGCGCGGAAGAUGUAACGGGGCUAAACCAUGCACCGAAGCUGCGGCAGCGACACUAUGUGUUGUUGGGUAGGGGAGCGUUCUGUAAGCCUGCGAAGGUGUGCUGUGAGGCAUGCUGGAGGUAUCAGAAGUGCGAAUGCUGACAUAAGUAACGAUAAAGCGGGUGAAAAGCCCGCUCGCCGGAAGACCAAGGGUUCCUGUCCAACGUUAAUCGGGGCAGGGUGAGUCGACCCCUAAGGCGAGGCCGAAAGGCGUAGUCGAUGGGAAACAGGUUAAUAUUCCUGUACUUGGUGUUACUGCGAAGGGGGGACGGAGAAGGCUAUGUUAGCCGGGCGACGGUUGUCCCGGUUUAAGCAUGUAGGCUGAUUAUCCAGGCAAAUCCGGAUAAUCAAGGCUGAGGUGUGAUGACGAGGCACUACGGUGCUGAAGUAACAAAUGCCCUGCUUCCAGGAAAAGCCUCUAAGCAUCAGGUAACAUCAAAUCGUACCCCAAACCGACACAGGUGGUCAGGUAGAGAAUACCAAGGCGCUUGAGAGAACUCGGGUGAAGGAACUAGGCAAAAUGGUGCCGUAACUUCGGGAGAAGGCACGCUGGUGUGUAGGUGAAGUCCCUGCGGAUGGAGCUGAGACCAGUCGAAGAUACCAGCUGGCUGCAACUGUUUAUUAAAAACACAGCACUGUGCAAACACGAAAGUGGACGUAUACGGUGUGACGCCUGCCCGGUGCCGGAAGGUUAAUUGAUGGGGUUAUCCGUAAGGAGAAGCUCUUGAUCGAAGCCCCGGUAAACGGCGGCCGUAACUAUAACGGUCCUAAGGUAGCGAAAUUCCUUGUCGGGUAAGUUCCGACCUGCACGAAUGGCGUAAUGAUGGCCAGGCUGUCUCCACCCGAGACUCAGUGAAAUUGAACUCGCUGUGAAGAUGCAGUGUACCCGCGGCAAGACGGAAAGACCCCGUGAACCUUUACUAUAGCUUGACACUGAACAUUGAGCCUUGAUGUGUAGGAUAGGUGGGAGGCUUUGAAGCGUGGACGCCAGUCUGCGUGGAGCCAACCUUGAAAUACCACCCUUUAAUGUUUGAUGUUCUAACGUUGGCCCCUGACCGGGGUUGCGGACAGUGUCUGGUGGGUAGUUUGACUGGGGCGGUCUCCUCCCAAAGCGUAACGGAGGAGCACGAAGGUUAGCUAAUCCUGGUCGGACAUCAGGAGGUUAGUGCAAUGGCAUAAGCUAGCUUGACUGCGAGCGUGACGGCGCGAGCAGGUGCGAAAGCAGGUCAUAGUGAUCCGGUGGUUCUGAAUGGAAGGGCCAUCGCUCAACGGAUAAAAGGUACUCCGGGGAUAACAGGCUGAUACCGCCCAAGAGUUCAUAUCGACGGCGGUGUUUGGCACCUCGAUGUCGGCUCAUCACAUCCUGGGGCUGAAGUAGGUCCCAAGGGUAUGGCUGUUCGCCAUUUAAAGUGGUACGCGAGCUGGGUUUAGAACGUCGUGAGACAGUUCGGUCCCUAUCUGCCGUGGGCGCUGGAGAAUUGAGGGGGGCUGCUCCUAGUACGAGAGGACCGGAGUGGACGCAUCACUGGUGUUCGGGUUGUCAUGCCAAUGGCACUGCCCGGUAGCUAAAUGCGGAAGAGAUAAGUGCUGAAAGCAUCUAAGCACGAAACUUGCCCCGAGAUGAGUUCUCCCUGAGACUUUAAGUCUCCUGAAGGAACGUUAAAGACGAUGACGUUGAUAGGCCGGGUGUGUAAGCGCAGCGAUGCGUUGAGCUAACCGGUACUAAUGAACCGUGAGGCUUAACCUU
rnacentral:rRNA from 1 species